rnacentral:sRNA from 1 species
AGUCCUUCUCCAGGGCACUCGAGUCUCCAUUGCACAAUGGCCAGCCCUGACUUUUACUCCCCUUGUAGAUAAACUGGGUUUGGGUUCUGUGGUUCCAGUGGAAUAUCUUCUGGAUAGAGAGCUUCGGUUCCUGUCAGAUGCCAAUGGGUUGCAUCUGUUUCAGAUGGGAACGGAUAGCCAAAACCAGAUUCUUUUGGAACAUGCUGCACUGAGAGAAACAGUUAAUGCUUUGAUCAGUGACCAAAAGCUACAAGAGAUAUUCAGCCGAGGUCCCUACAGUGUUCAAGGUCACAGGGUCAAAGUAUAUCAGCCAGAGGGGGAAGAAGGGUGGCUCUAUGGUGUUGUGAGCCAUCAAGACUCCAUCACUCGUCUUAUGGAGGUGUCUGUAACUGAGAGUGGUGAGAUCAAGUCGGUAGAUCCCAGACUAAUCCAUGUGAUGCUGAUGGAUAAUUCAACGCCUCAAAGCGAGGUACAGUAAUGGACUGCGUUCCUGAGCAGACUCAUGAGCUUGCAUUAUCUUGCUGUGUGUAGAUCCCUUAUAUAUGUGUUUUCCAUGGAUGCCUUUUGAGUUGUUCAGCUUUAGCCACUGUACAUUUUUUUGCUCUCUCCACAGUCUGUCUAAUUAAG